rnacentral:rRNA from 1 species
AGAGUUUGAUCCUGGCUCAGGAUGAACGCUGGCGGCAUGCCUAAUACAUGCAAGUCGAACGAGAGGAAGGAGAGCUUGCUUUCCUGAAUCUAGUGGCGAACGGGUGAGUAACACGUAGGUAACCUGCCCAUGUGCCCGGGAUAACUUCUGGAAACGGAUGCUAAAACCGGAUAGGUAGCAGACAAGCAUUUGACUGCUAUUAAAGUGGCUAAGGCCAUGAACAUGGAUGGACCUGCGGUGCAUUAGCUGGUUGGUGAGGUAACGGCCCACCAAGGCGACGAUGCAUAGCCGGCCUGAGAGGGCGGACGGCCACAUUGGGACUGAGACACGGCCCAAACUCCUACGGGAGGCAGCAGUAGGGAAUUUUCGUCAAUGGGGGGAACCCUGAACGAGCAAUGCCGCGUGAGUGAGGAAGGUCUUCGGAUCGUAAAGCUCUGUUGUAAGAGAAAAACGACAUUCAUAGGGAAUGAUGAGUGAGUGAUGGUAUCUUACCAGAAAGUCACGGCUAACUACGUGCCAGCAGCCGCGGUAAUACGUAGGUGGCGAGCGUUAUCCGGAAUGAUUGGGCGUAAAGGGUGCGUAGGUGGCAGAUCAAGUCUGGAGUAAAAGGUAUGGGCUCAACCCGUACUGGCUCUGGAAACUGAUCAGCUAGAGAACAGAAGAGGACGGCGGAACUCCAUGUGUAGCGGUAAAAUGCGUAGAUAUAUGGAAGAACACCGGUGGCGAAGGCGGCCGUCUGGUCUGGAUUCUGACACUGAAGCACGAAAGCGUGGGGAGCAAAUAGGAUUAGAUACCCUAGUAGUCCACGCCGUAAACGAUGAGAACUAGGUGUUGGGGGAAUAACUCAGUGCCGCAGUUAACGCAAUAAGUUCUCCGCCUGGGGAGUAUGCACGCAAGUGUGAAACUCAAAGGAAUUGAC